rnacentral:rRNA from 1 species
CAAUAGCGUAUAUUAAAGUUGUUGCGGUUAAAAAGCUCGUAGUUGGAUUUCUGCCGAGGACGACCGGUCCGCCCUCUGGGUGUGUAUCUGGUUUGGCCUGGGCAUCUUCUUGGAGAACGUAGCUGCACUUGACUGUGUGGUGCGGUGUCCAGGACUUUUACUUUGAGGAAAUUAGAGUGUUUCAAGCAGGCACACGCCUUGAAUACAUUAGCAUGGAAUAAUAAGAUAGGACCUCGGUUCUAUUUUGUUGGUUUCUAGAGCUGAGGUAAUGAUUAAUAGGGAUAGUUGGGGGCAUUCGUAUUUAACUGUCAGAGGUGAAAUUCUUGGAUUUGUUAAAGACGAACUACUGCGAAAGCAUUUGCCAAGGAUGUUUUCAUUAA